rnacentral:tRNA from 1 species
UCCCUGAUGGCUCAGAUGGUAAAGAACCUGCCUGCAAUGCAGGAGACCCAGGUUUGAUCCCUGGGUUGGGAA